GACGUCGAUAUUCGACGUCAUAAACACGAUCAACUUUGGUGUUUAUGACGUCGAUAUUCGACGUCAUAAACACGAUCAACUUUGGUGUUUAUGACGUCGAUAUUCGACGUC